GCGCCGAUAGUUCAGUGGUAGAAUUCUUGCCUUCCAAGCAAGAGGCGUGGGUUCAAUUCCCGCUCGGCGCA